UACAGCUUUGGGUUAACCAGUGUUGAUUAUUCUGGAAAUGAUAUUGGUUCUAUGAAUAGUACAUCCAUUCCUUGGAAAGAGCCUAAAAUAUCUGUUGAUACAAAUGUUAACAACAAUAUUGCCAACUUUACAAUUAGGGUAAAAUAAAGUGACGUGUAGUUGAUAUUUAUUUUAAUAUUAAAGUGAUGUGUGUACUAAUGUCAUUGUGUCACUUUUCUUAAGUAACCUGUAAUACAAUAGAAAUAAA